GCAUAAAAUGUUUAAACAAUAAUAUCUGCGAAACGCUUGGCCAUCUCGUCUUUUUACUUGGCUCACUUUAAGUUCUAGUCGAGCCCAACAUAUACUGUGAAUUUGGCCGAAAUCGAUGACGACGAGUUCUCAACCUCCCCUUGGACCCGUAUGCGUGUAAGUGACCGACUGCAGCGCACCAAGUAGUGGGGAGGGAAAGCUCGGGCCGUCCGUGAGCCUUUGCAUGUGGUAAUCUCAUGUACGCGAGACCGCUCUGCGUGUGCGUAAAAUCGGGCAAUUUUUGUCAGCGCCAUCUACUAGUGGGGAGGCAAAGCUCUUGUAUAUAAGGAAAAGUACAUAAGCAUACCCCCACCACGUCUUCCGCACCUCUAUUCCUAUCUACACUCAACGGUUCUGGCUUCGUGGAGACGGAAUAUUUUCCGUACCAUGGGACGCCAGCCUGAAGGUCAGAUCCACAGAUCAACGUCAGAUCCACAGACCUGUGGUCAGAUAAAGGCUGGAAGGAUUCCGAUCAUCUUGGACCCAAAUCUCUACUAACCUACCGAUGACGGCAUACGGAGCUACAUGGCGAUUGUUGGAGACAUAAUUGGCAUUUACGGCUUACCAGGUGCAUUGUUCGAUUCUUCAAAUUCCUGAGCCGACUAUUUCUGAAAACCGGUGUAUCGCAUUAUUUCCUCCUUGCCAGCUCACCCUAUGCUGCAAACCAGGAGAGCAUUGGGCAGUCUCUGAAGCAACAGUGGCACCGCACCCGCAUAGGAAAUACAGGACUAUCCUUGAUGCAUUUACACCACUGGACUAUACAAAUCCUGUACUUUGGUGAUUUAUACAUCGAAUCAUCAUGUGUUCCGAGUGGAUAAUUAUGUAGGAAUGAAUUAUAAUGUAUACGUCUCGUAUCUUAGAGAACAAGAAAUUAAUAAUUUUAUGUUAAUUGAAAUGAAACUAUCGUCCAUAGUCUUGUAACGCAUUAGUCAUAAGUAUACAAAAAUGAAUUUAUAUUGUCCAUUGCAAAGUCUCAAUAUGUAUUCUUGACGAUUAAUUUAUUAAUAAAAACUCAUCGU
rnacentral:lncRNA from 1 species